AAAGACAUGUUAAGCAGCCGACAAAAUUAGGCACAUCAUUCACUAAAUGCUGGUUCUAACCGUCUGAUGAUAAAAUAUAUCUGUCAGCCCUCAUGGCAGCUUCACUCCGAUCAUCUCCGUUUCCAACAGAACCACCUUGACUAGAUGAGGUCAGCGGGCUAGAGAUGUUUGUUGUUGCUACGAGAAGGAACAAAUAAAUAGAAAUAUUGAUAUAAUGCAAACAACGUGAAGAGGAAACAACAAUAAAGCAAGGUUUAUAACCUUCAGAAGAACGAUGUCCAUUUUCAGAUAUGGCAUCUACAUUAGAUGA
rnacentral:sRNA from 1 species